AAGCAGAAGAAAAUGCCCCAGAAGAUAAGCAAGAAAUACAACUCUGUACUGACAAAAAUUUGGGUAGCAUUCUUUGUGACACCACAGCAUCAAUGAAGCAGCAGUAUUAUUUCUUCCAACUACAUGCUGUCAAAGAAGGAAACACUGCUUUCAUUACUUAGUUGACUGAAGUUCAUCUUCAAGAGCAUUUAUCUUGAGAAUUGUACCUGGAUGCACCAGUUCUCAUGCUUGUGCGUGUCGGAAAAGGAAAGUCAGCUGCCAUUUUGUGAUCUGCCCUCUGGAGAUACCCGCUUCAUAAGGAACUGAAGGACGACUCUGGCCAAGAGCCAGUGAGAAACUGAAUACCUCUGUCUAUCAACCCACAAAGAACUGAUUCUGACAAAUAUCACACAAGUUAGUUUGCAAGCAGAUCCCCCUCAAGUUGAACCUUCAGAUGAUAUUACAGCCUUAAUUGCAAACUCAUGACAUAUCUUGAGGUAAAGGCAAUCAAUUAAGCUGCACUUGUGUCUCUGAUUAAAAACAAAACAAUGGAAAAAUAUUUUUUGAAGUCCCUAAUUUUUGGGUAAUUUACCACAGAGCAGUAGAUAACUAAUUCAUCAGGAAAAAAAAAAAAGAAUACAAAGAAUGUCACAUAAUAAUAAAGGGAUCAAUUCACUAAAAUUAUAUAGUAAUUGUAGGAAUAUAUAUACCUAAAAAUCAAGAUGUGGCAUAUGCAUAAAACUGAAUAAUAUUAAAGCCAGACUCAGAAAUGAUACAUAUUGUACGAUUCCUUUUAUGUAAUAGUUUGGAAAGGGCAAAACUCUAGGGACAGAAAACAGAUCAAUGUUUGCCCAGCACUGAGGGAAGCUGAGAAUGUAAAAGUUGAUUACAAAAGUGCAGAAGGGAACAUUUUUGGAUGAUGGACAUCUUCUUCAUCUUGAUUGUGAUGGUGGCUACAUGACUGUAUAAAUAUAUCAAAAUUUACUUAAAUUUACAUCCAAAAUGGUGAAUUCUAACCUAUGAACCUUAUACUUCAUAAACCUGACUAAAACCAAACCAAAUAUAAAACAGUAAACAGAUUAUGCCAGCUAUUAUAGUGUGAAUGGUAGACUGUAUGAGAUAAUUGGCAUGAAAAGACCAAUAUGGAGGCAGUAAUCCAAUGGGAAGAGGAUGAUAGCAAUGGAUAAAGUAGCAUCUUGCAGGUAAGCAGCUAGAAUGGUGUAAUGGAGUGGAUUGAUUGACGAUGCGUAGUUACCUUGCAUAUAUAUAUAUACACACACACAACUGAAUAGAGAAAACUUAUGAAUCCUAAGUUUCUAAUUUGUAAAACAUGAUAGACGACGGCCAUUUACUGUAAUAGAGCAGGCUGCAGAAAAAAAGAAGCCUUUGGAGACAGUCAAAAGUUCAGUUUUAGAUAUAUUUUGGUUAUCAGUAGAAUAUCUCAACAAAAAAAUCAAGUAAUAGUAAUUACUUAAGUAACCUUUACUCUGUGCCAGGUAAACUUUUAAGUGUUUUAUAUAGGGAUGGACUGUAUAAACUCAUUUCAUCCUCAAUACAGCCAUAUGAGGUAAGCCCUAUUAUUGUCAUGAUAUUAUAAUGAGAAAAAUCUAUGACACUAAGUGGUUAAGUGAUUUGCCCCAAAUCACACAAUUGUUAAGUGUCAGGGCUGGGUUGGUUGCAGAAUCCACGCUCUUAUAUGUUACAUCAUACUGAUUCUUUUAAGUAAAGUGGUGGAUAUAUGAAUCUUGAACUCAGAGGAUAAGACUGGAAAAUUAAUUUGAACUAUCUCCAUAAGCAGUGGCAUUUUGAUCCAUAAGUAUGAAUGAAAUAUCUUUAGAUCAGAGUGUUUGUAGAAAAGAUAAGGAAGUCAAGGUCUAAGCUGUGGGCUUGGAAUUUAGGUGGAAAACGUGGAGCUAGCAAAGGAGGCUAAGGAGCAGUGGCUACUGACAUAGGGGAAAAUUGGAAUGUGUGGUGUCAUGAAGUCAAGCUAGAGAGGUUUCAAGUACAGGAUACUUGUUUGGGUAAUAAUACUGAGAGGCUAACAUAGGUGGUAUCACCGUUUUAUACAAAGGCAGGCUACUGUACCAAAAAGA